CCUAGUAAAGCUAAAGCUCGAAACGACUAUGUCCUUUUAGUUUCAAAUUUGGAUAAGUAAUUAACCAAAUAAUCUCUUACUUCAAAAAGAAUAAUGUGAAUGGUUUUUCUUUUGAUUGCAUGCAUUUUUCUAAAAUACGUUCAAGUACUUUCAAAUUAAGAAAAAUAAAAAGGUCAAAUACCUAGAUAGUCCCUACGCUUCCAGUACGGAUCCAUCCAAAACCAAAGAGCGGGGCUAAGCGAGGGGAAUAGCGAUACAAUAUUCAUACUCAAGUUGCUCAAAUCCAAUAGGAAUAUCAGAAAUAGUAGAAUCUAGUAGGAGCUUACCUUGGAACUUAGGCACUUUUUGUAAGGUAUACUUAAACUUAGUAACUGACCGCAUAGAGUACACUUUUACCUGGCAGAGGUGUGUCUCUUGAACACCUUAUGCGACAUGCCAUUUUGUGUAUUCUGCACUCACAGAUGGAAAUGGACGUGUGAAAUUCGCAUUAGGUGUUUCUCCCUUUGUUUUCCUCAAUAUUUUUAUUAUAUCUAGCAUUUAUUCCUGCCAACACCCUCCAUGUACUUGUCCAAAGUGGAAAUAGAAAUAUCAUUAGCGCUCAUGCGGCAAAGAAAACGAGCUUAUUUUCUUAUUUUUUGUUUGUUUUUUUAAGGUCUCACUCUGUUUGUUUGUUUUUACAAAAAAGGGUGAAAAUUGCUCCUAUAUUAACUAUUGUGUUAUGAAAUAAUAUAAGAACAAGAACAUACAAGAACAAGAACAAUAGAGAGAAAAGUAGA
rnacentral:lncRNA from 1 species